rfam:Octopus bimaculoides Scaffold12729_contig_17, whole genome shotgun sequence.
ACAACGGUCCUUUUUAGGGCCAUCCAUAUUCUCCUGAGGGUAACUU